rnacentral:rRNA from 1 species
GGGUUGUAAAGUACUUUCAGCGGGGAGGAAGGUGAUAAGGUUAAUACCCUUAUCAAUUGACGUUACCCGCAGAAGAAGCACCGGCUAACUCCGUGCCAGCAGCCGCGGUAAUACGGAGGGUGCAAGCGUUAAUCGGAAUUACUGGGCGUAAAGCGCACGCAGGCGGUCAAUUAAGUCAGAUGUGAAAGCCCCGAGCUUAACUUGGGAAUUGCAUCUGAAACUGGUUGGCUAGAGUCUUGUAGAGGGGGGUAGAAUUCCACGUGUAGCGGUGAAAUGCGUAGAGAUGUGGAGGAAUACCGGUG